GGAAAUGUGCCCGAAUCUUAGGGGUUACUUUGAUAGAGUAAAUUAUAGAGGUUAAAAUCCACUCAUUUCCU
rnacentral:tRNA from 1 species